GAAACUAACAAGGAUUCCCCUAGUAGCUGCGAGCGAACAGGGACGAGCCCAGCACUGAAUCCCGAAGGCCUCGCCUUUAGGGAGAUGUAGUGUUUAGGAGUGCCCGAUUAAACCCGGGGACAUGCACCGCGUUCAAGUCCAUCUUGAACGGGGCCACGGUCCGCAGAGGGUGCCAGGCCCGUAGAUGACCGGUGCCGGCCCCGGGUGGGAGCCGCCAAAGAGCCGGGCCGCUUGAGAGUGCAGCCCUAAGCGGGGGGAAAACCCCACCCAAGGCUAAAUGCAACCACGGGACCGAUAGAGAACAA
rnacentral:rRNA from 1 species